AUGAACGCUGGCGGCGUGCCUAAUCCCUGCAAGUCGAGCGAACAGACGAGGAGCUUGCUCCUCUGACGUUAGCGGCGGACGGGUGAGUAACACGUGGAUAACCUACCUAUAAGACUGGGAUAACUUCGGGAAACCGGAGCUAAUACCGGAUAAUAUAUUGAACCGCAUGAUUCAAUAGUGAAAGACGGUUUUGCUGUCACUUAUAGAUGGAUCCGCGCCGCAUUAGCUAGUUGGUAAGGUAACGGCUUACCAAGGCAACGAUGCGUAGCCGACCUGAGAGGGUGAUCGGCCACACUGGAACUGAGACACGGUCCAGACUCCUACGGGAGGCAGCAGUAGGGAAUCUUCCGCAAUGGGCGAAAGCCUGACGGAGCAACGCCGCGUGAGUGAUGAAGGUCUUCGGAUCGUAAAACUCUGUUAUUAGGGAAGAACAAAUGUGUAAGUAACUAUGCACGUCUUGACGGUACCUAAUCAGAAAGCCACGGCUAACUACGUG
rnacentral:rRNA from 1 species